AACGGCCAUACCAUGCUGAAUAUACCGGUUCUCGUUAGAUCACCGAAGUCAAGCAUCAUUGGGCGCGGUCAGUACUUGGGUGGGUGACCACCUGGGAACACUGCUUGCCGU
rnacentral:rRNA from 1 species